rnacentral:rRNA from 1 species
GAGGAACCUGCCUUGGAGAGGGGGAAGUAACAACUCCGAAAGGAGUGCUAAUACCGCAUGAUGCAGUUGGGUCGCAUGGCUCUGACUGCCAAAGAUUUAUCGCUCUGAGAUGGCCUCGCGUCUGAUUAGCUAGUAGGCGGGGUAACGGCCCACCUAGGCGACGAUCAGUAGCCGGACUGAGAGGUUGACCGGCCACAUUGGGACUGAGACACGGCCCAGACUCCUACGGGAGGCAGCAUG